GAUGAACGCUGGCGGCGUGCCUAAUACAUGCAAGUCGAGCGAACAGACGAGGAGCUUGCUCCUCUGACGUUAGCGGCGGACGGGUGAGUAACUCGUGGAUAACCUACCUAUAAGACUGGGAUAACUUCGGGAAACCGGAGCUAAUACCGGAUAAUAUAUUGAACCGCAUGGUUCAAUAGUGAAAGACGGUUUUGCUGUCACUUAUAGAUGGAUCCGCGCCGCAUUAGCUAGUUGGUAAGGUAACGGCUUACCAAGGCAACGAUGCGUAGCCGACCUGAGAGGGUGAUCGGCCACACUGGGACUGAGACACGGUCCAGACUCCUACGGGAGGCAGCAGUAGGGAAUCUUCCGCAAUGGGCGAAAGCCUGACGGAGCAACGCCGCGUGAGUGAUGAAGGUCUUCGGAUCGUAAAACUCUGUUAUUAGGGAAGAACAAAUGUGUAAGUAACUAUGCACGUCUUGACGGUACCUAAUCAGAAAGCCACGGCUAACUACGUG
rnacentral:rRNA from 1 species